rnacentral:rRNA from 1 species
AACGAACGCUGGCGGCAGGCUUAACACAUGCAAGUCGAACGGGUGCAGCAAUGCAUCAGUGGCAGACGGGUGAGUAACACGUGGGAACCUUCCUAGGGGUACGGAACAACUCAGGGAAACUUGGGCUAAUACCGUAUACGUCCGUAAGGAGAAAGAUUCAUCGCCCCUAGACGGGCCCGCGUCGGAUUAGGUAGUUGGUGGGGUAACGGCCUACCAAGCCUACGAUCCGUAGCUGAUCUGAGAGGANGAUCAGCCACACUGGGACUGAGACACGGCCCAGACUCCUACGGGAGGCAGCAGUGGGGAAUCUUGGACAAUGGGCGCAAGCCUGAUCCAGCCAUGCCGCGUGAGUGAAGAAGGCCUUAGGGUUGUAAAGCUCUUUUACCAGGGACGAUAAUGACGGUACCUGGAGAAUAAGCCCCGGCAAACUUCGUGCCAGCCGCCGCAGUAAC